UGCCGCCUUCUGCACAGGAGCUGCAGGC
rnacentral:piRNA from 1 species